AUGCUGGUUCGGGUGAUCCUGCAGACCUCACUGGUCCUGUGGCUGGUACAGAACACCAUACAGGGAGGAGUUAGGCCACAGACUGGAGCCCUGGGAAGAUUGGCGAGUCGAGGUCCAGGUAUCAGUGUAAAGUCUGGAGUGGCUGGUAUUCUUGGAGCCCGUGGCUAUGGGGCAGGCAAGCCAGCUGGCCGUUAUCUUGGAGGGGCAGCAUACAGACCCACUUCAAUCAGAGGAGGCCUGACACAAGGAUAUGGAACACUCGGCUAUGGAGGAGCUGCAAACCUUGGAACUGGCCUUGGGGCUGCCGGGCUGAGACUCGGCACAAGGUAUGGCCUAGGCAACGGGCUGGGAGCAGCCUUAGGUUAUCCAGCAGGGAAGCUUGGAGGGAGAGGUUACACCAGUAAUGGCUAUGGAGCACAGCUAGGUUACGGUGCAGGAGGAUACCCCGGCGCUGGUCGCGGAUACGGCCUUGGUGCUGCUGGCUUUCUUGGAGCUGGUUUUACUAAUGGAUAUGGAGCAGGUCUUGGGGCAGGUGGAUAUCCACAGGGA
rnacentral:lncRNA from 1 species